AAAAGAAACCAACAGGGAUUGCCCUAGUAACGGCGAGUGAAGCGGCAACAGCUCAAAUUUGAAAGCUGGCCUUCGGGUCCGCAUUGUAAUUUGUAGAGGAUGCUUUGGGUGAAACGCCAGUCUAAGUUCCUUGGAACAGGACGUCAUAGAGGGUGAGAAUCCCGUAUGUGACUGGAAAUGUUAACCUAUGUAAAGCUCCUUCGACGAGUCGAGUUGUUUGGGAAUGCAGCUCUAAAUGGGAGGUAAAUUUCUUCUAAAGCUAAAUAUUGGCGAGAGACCGAUAGCGCACAAGUAGAGUGAUCGAAAGAUGAAAAGCACUUUGGAAAGAGAGUUAAAAAGCACGUGAAAUUGUUGAAAGGGAAGCGCUUGCAAUCAGACUUGUUUAAACUGUUCGGCCGGUCUUCUGACCGGUUUACUCAGUUUGGACAGGCCAGCAUCAGUUUCGGCGGCCGGAUAAAGGCUCUGGGAAUGUGGCCUUCACUUCGGUGAAGGUGUUAUAGCCCAGGGUGUAAUACGGCCAGCCGGGACUGAG
rnacentral:rRNA from 1 species